AUUGAACGCUGGCGGCAGGCCUAACACAUGCAAGUCGAACGGCAGCACAGAAGAGCUUGCUCUUUGGGUGGCGAGUGGCGGACGGGUGAGUAAUGUCUGGGAAACUGCCCGAUGGAGGGGGAUAACUACUGGAAACGGUAGCUAAUACCGCAUAACAUCGCGAGACCAAAGUGGGGGACCUUCGGGCCUCACACCAUCGGAUGUGCCCAGCUGGGAUUAGCUAGUAGGUGGGGUAAUGGCUCACCUAGGCGACGAUCCCUAGCUGGUCUGAGAGGAUGACCAGCCACACUGGAACUGAGACACGGUCCAGACUCCUACGGGAGGCAGCAGUGGGGAAUAUUGCACAAUGGGCGCAAGCCUGAUGCAGCCAUGCCGCGUGUAUGAAGAAGGCCUUCGGGUUGUAAAGUACUUUCAGCGGGGAGGAAGGCGACGUGGUUAAUAACCGCGUCGAUUGACGUUACCCGCAGAAGAAGCACCGGCUAACUCCGUGCCAGCAGCCGCCGUAA
rnacentral:rRNA from 1 species